GCAUAAUAACUAGUUACCGUGCUCGUUACCACAAUAAUAACGUAGUUACUGUAACGCGUUACUUAAUAACGCGUUAGUCCCAACACUGUUCCUCACACUCCUGACAGUGUAAUACACUGAGCUCUAUUCUCUCAUCUCCUCCACAGUGCUCACGUUUUCCAAUGUUUCCCUGAAAUGAAUAGUGUGCGGUUCAGCCCAGUGUGCCCAAAUCUGAGACGUGAAAGGAUUGUUUCUUCUCUCCUCCUCGUCCUCCCUCUCAUUUCUCCAGUUGUUGAAUUUCUAUGAAUAUGUCUGGUCUACUUUGUGAAUUGUAAACUUACUAAUGAUGAACUGGAAUUUGAACAAAUGACUCAUCUUAAUGGUCUUGUCUCUUCAGCCCAGUGGCUGAUAAUGUCACAAGCAUUUCUCCUGUAAUCAGUUUCCCUACUUUGAUAUUAAACUCAGGUAAAAAUAAAAGCUACUCUAACUCUAUUUAAUGUAUUCUUAGAUGCAUCUGUAUAAAUUACUCAAUAUUACAAUUAUGCACAAAUAUAUUUCUGUACUGUACAUGAGUUUAAUGUAAACUCCUCAUUUCUCUUUUCCAACAAAGUGAAAUCCACUGUAGCAUCUGGAAGUGUCCACAGCUGUUUACUGCACGGUUUAACCAUUCCCUGAGUUGGAUGCUCCUGUCAAUGACCAUAGAGAAAAUCCUUUCUCCAUGUCUACAUUCACCCUGCGAUACCAUCUUCCUCAUUUGAAUGAAUAAACCUUGUGUCCACAUCGUACCCUGUGCUUUUUCAAUUUCAAAAGUUCUGUGUCAUCUUUGCCUGGCGUGCAGAUCUUUACCGUUACUGCUUCUUUCCAUUUCCCAAACUUUAUUGUAAAAUAAUAUUCUUUAGUCACUAAGUUGACUUCUCGUUAGAUAACAAACCUGAUCCUCCUGAUUUGAGAGGUACAUUUAUUAAAUCAUUUACAUCUUCAUGUUCUAAUAACUCUCUAUUCUCUGACAUUUCUCUUCCUGUUUUCCCUUCCACAGUAAUAUUAUCUGAACUAUGCAGCUCUGCUUUUCUGUCAAGGUUCGAUUGAGCGUCUCGUGUUUCCCCAGAUCCGCACCUGAGCGGGGUCCUGGCCACUCCCACUCACUUGUUCCUCAUUCCGCGGCAAUCAGUGUAGCCUAACUGCAAAGCUUAUGAAUCCUAUUUAAACCCUCUCUGGAGUCUUUAAUUAAAAUAAAUAAAUAAAUAAAAGAAUUGUGUUGUUGCCAUUUAUUUAUAAAGGUAGUAAUAUUAUAUUACCACGGGAACAACAGCCUGUGCAAGAAAGGUAAUAUUAAACUAACCAUCAGCAGGGAUAAUGUGUGUUUUUGGUUUGAAUAUGUGAAUUGUGCAUUGUCGUCUAAUAUGAGAUCUCUGGUAUAUGUAAUGAUUGCUUGUAUCCAUUUGUCUCUUUAACACUAUGAUAGCGGUUUUUCUGAUAUUGCAAUGAUUUUGCGUUUCAUUCAUAACUGUAGCCACAUGUGAGGGUAAAUAAAAACAACAUUUACAGUUGUAAAACAUUUAAACCUCACUGAGAAAAUCUAAAAUACAAAGUCACCAUAUCAAAUAGU